GUGGGGAAUAUUGGACAAUGGGCGAAAGCCUGAUCCAGCCAUGCCGCGUGUGUGAAGAAGGUCUUCGGAUUGUAAAGCACUUUAAGUUGGGAGGAAGGGCAGUAAGUUAAUACCUUGCUGUUUUGACGUUACCGACAGAAUAAGCACCGGCUAACUUCGUGCCAGCAGCCGCGGUAAUACGAAGGGUGCAAGCGUUAAUCGGAAUUACUGGGCGUAAAGCGCGCGUAGGUGGUUUUGUAAGUUGGAGGUGAAAUCCACGGGCUCAACCUGGGAACUGCGUCCAAAACUGCAUGACUAGAGUACGGUAGAGGGUGGUGGAAUUUCCUGUGUAGCGGUGAAAUGCGUAGAUAUAGGAAGGAAAACCAGUGGCGAAGGCGACCACCUGGACUGAUACUGACACUGAGGUGCGAAAGCGUGGGGAGCAAACAGGAUUAGAUACCCGUGUAGUCC
rnacentral:rRNA from 1 species